AAAUGAAUUGCUGGCCGAGGCAAUUUUAGAGGACAAACUUACUGGCUAUUUCUUUCACCGCACAUUCCUUUUUGUCCCUAUUUCUAAAAUCUGCAGAACUCACAUCGUAUAAACAUUUGUAUUCAGGCCAAAGUUCGACAAGUUUGUCCUCUAAAAUUGCCUCGGCCAGCAAUUCAUUU